AUUCUCCGGCCAAGCCCAGCUGCCUAGAGCGAGCUCCACUCCUCCAUCUGUUCGCCGGGGUCCUCGCUCCCCUGCCGGGGCCGGCGAGACGGCGUGAGGCCGGAGGGGGAUUUGCAAGGAAACCUGCCUGCUUCCCGCUCCCAUUGCUCCAUCCCCGCUGCCUCCUGCCUCCUGCUUCUCUCCUGCGUCUUUCCAACUCUCCCCUGUCGCCACUGGUGUGUGUCUGAGUGUGUGCGCGGUUUUUUUUUUUUAAUUGCUCUUUGCUUUUGCAACCCUGAAGCAAAAGGGGGGGGGGGUAGUUACAGGGAAAAAAAAAGCGAGAAAGAAGCUCUUAGAUUUGCAACACAUCGGAAAACCGGGGGAGCACCCCGCCUUAUCCGAUCUCCAUGCUCCGCAAGGGCCUUCCGGGUUUUAGGACAAGCUUCUCAAUGUCCCGUUUCGCUGGGUUUAGGAUCCGAGGAGUCCGAGCAAAAAGUUCUCCCCCUGGGUCGUAGUGACGGGUGUCGGGGUGGGAGUUGCGGGGAUUUUUCAAGAAGCAGCAGCUACCCCGGCGUCGGUCACUGGGCCGGGGUAGGGGAAAGAGCAAAAUCCCAGUGGGUUUGCGCGAGGGAUCUUCUAGGGUCGAGGCGGGUGUGGGGGGAGUUGGAACCGGGAGACACCGCUUGGCGCAUCUCUCCCUCGGUCUCUACCUCCUGUCCUAUGCCAGCUCCCCCUUUAAUUUUUUUCCUCUCCUUUAAUCUAAUUUCUUCCAACUCCACCUUUGUUGUUACCGGCGUCACACCCGGACCAGCCAAUCCCCGCCACGCAAUCAGCUUGUCAAAAAGCCUCGGCCAUCCCUAGGAAAGCAGGCCGCAGGCGCUGCCCCCCGGCGGCGGCGGGCAGCCGCGAGGGGAGCCCAGCACCCGGUUCUCGCUGCCCCGGGUGGCAGCGGGGCAGCCUCCGACAAGACGUCCCUUGGUUCACUGUCCUGCAGGCCGGGGAUGAAAGGCCUGGACAGGGUCCACCACCCACUCUCCCACUGCCACGGCCGUGGUUGACUGUCUUUGCCUCCCCUUUUCAGAGGAAAGGUUAUCAGGACAGGACGCAGGGAGCCAGAAGACCAUCUGAAGGAAGCCUGCUUCCAACGGGCCCAGCCUCCAGCCACCGCUCCUGGGGCAGCGCCAUUGCUCCUGGCUCUCAGGCUGCCAGUCUCCCACACCGACGCUCUACUGCCCGCAUCUCGGCCAGCUGGGUCACCCAGCCCCUUUCGACUCUCCCCUGGCACGCAGCCUUCUCCUUCACUCGGCCUGCCUCGCUGCUGCUGUAAUUCCUCUUGUCUCCUGGGAGAAAUGAGAUUGCUUUCCCAGGACUUCCACAUCCCACUUCUAUCAGGUUUCACCAACAGGGAGGAAGCCCUGUCAAGAUCUGGUGUGUCCUGUUUUUUUUUUUUUUUUUUCCCAGAGGGCACUGGCAUGUAGGAGAAGCGGAUUUACCACUAGUAGAUGUUAAUGAAAUUUCAGCUUCUAGGCCCCUAACUUGCAGGACCUGCCCAAGGCCCUGAACUUAAUUUUGUUUUCAUCAUUUGGUAUUUUUUUGUUAAAAGAGCCACCGACCACCUCCCCGCUACCCCAGAACUGCACGUGUUUCUGGCCCUACAAACCCAGAUCGUCCCUUGGAAUAUACACAGGGCAAUUUGUGUAGGAUCACACUGCGCUAAAAGUGAGGCAUGGUGGGCUAGGCGCACUGGCUCACACCUGUAAUCCCAGCACUUUGGGAGACCAAGACAGGAGGUCUUAAGUGAUUAAGCCCAGGAGUUCGAGAUCAGCUUAGACAACAUAGCAAGAUGCUGCCUCUACAAACACACACACCCCCUAUUAUAAUAUGUCAAAAAAAAAAAAAAAAAAAGGAAAAGUGAGGCAUAGAACUGACUUUAUUGUUUUGACUAGGAAAGAGCAAAGGGUUUGGAAUCAAAAGUCCCAACUUCCCCACCUUCUUAAUAGUGUGUGAAUCUGAGUGCCUUAUUAACCUUCCCUGGUCCCAGUUUCGUAUCUGUAAAGUUAGAAUAGCAAUCCUGUUUAAUUUGCUUCUCUCACCAGGGAUCAGAAGGCCAAAUGAGAUGAUGUAUGUAAAAUUGUAAAGUCCUCCACAGAUGGCACUUGCCACAUUACAGAGAACUUGAGACCCCCCCCCACCAAUAACGUUCCAAAUCUUCCACAUGCAGAUCUGGAGUCCAGGUGUCCUGGCUCCUGGCCCUGAACUUUUUGGCUGGGCCAAGGGGCUUUUCGGUAAAGUGCUUUGGAAUAAAACAGGAUGAACAUGAAUCAUAAGAA
rnacentral:lncRNA from 1 species